GGGUGCUCGAGUGGCGAACGGGUGAGUAACACGUGAGUAACCUGCCCUUGACUUUGGGAUAACUUCAGGAAACUGGGGCUAAUACCGGAUAGGAGCUCCUGCUGCAUGGUGGGGGUUGGAAAGUUUCGGCGGUUGGGGAUGGACUCGCGGCCUAUCAGCUUGUUGGUGGGGUAAUGGCCUACCAAGGCGGCGACGGGUAGCCGGCCUGAGAGGGUGGACGGCCACAUUGGGACUGAGAUACGGCCCAG
rnacentral:rRNA from 1 species